rnacentral:rRNA from 1 species
AAGGAUUCCGGUAAAAGACCGGUUUGAUAGAAACGGGAUGUAAGCACCAAGGCAACGAGGUGUUCAGUCCGCGUU